rnacentral:rRNA from 1 species
AUUGAACGCUGGCGGCAUGCCUUACACAUGCAAGUCGAACGGUAACAGGUCUUCGGAUGCUGACGAGUGGCGAACGGGUGAGUAAUACAUCGGAACGUGCCCGAUCGUGGGGGAUAACGAGGCGAAAGCUUUGCUAAUACCGCAUACGAUCUACGGAUGAAAGCGGGGGAUCUUCGGACCUCGCGCGGACGGAGCGGCCGAUGGCAGAUUAGGUAGUUGGUGGGAUAAAAGCUUACCAAGCCGACGAUCUGUAGCUGGUCUGAGAGGAUGAUCAGCCACACUGGAACUGAGACACGGCCCAGACUCCUACGGGAGGCAGCAGUGGGGAAUUUUGGACAAUGGGCGAAAGCCUGAUCCAGCCAUGCCGCGUGCAGGAUGAAGGCCUUUGGGUUGUAAACUGCUUUUGUACGGAACGAAAAGCCUCUUGCUAAUAAAGAGGGGUCAUGACGGUACCGUAAGAAUAAGCACCGGCUAACUACGUG